AAAGAAUAUAAGCACUUAGGUGCCUUUCAGAGUGAGUUUGAGAGGAGAAUAGGGAAUCAGGUGAAAAUCCUGAGCGGGCCCGCCACUGUGACUAGUUUGUUACGUUUAAUGUUAAAACUAGAAGUCAGGAGACCUGCCUAAGUGUUGACCUACUA
rnacentral:ncRNA from 1 species